AACGAACAACUUCUCAUAUAACUUAAAAAGCUCACCUCCCUCACCCACUCCCACUUUAUCUCUUCUUUUUUCCCUCCUUUCCUUUCAUCCUCUCUCUUUCUUUUUGGAUGUGGUAUUCAUUGGCCUCCAGAUUUGAACAAUGAGCAGCAACAGAGGAGAACAAAGCCACAGCUGCUUACUCCAGCAAUGAAAAGGCCACUGGAACAGGACUGACUCGGGAUCAGCCUAGGGCUCCAACACUGACUGAGCAAGUUCAAGGCUAAAGGAAUGUCCAAUCUGCCAAUUGGCUUUCGCUGUAAGUUGAGUCAACAGGUUUCCUCUUCUUUUCCAAAUACAGGGAGAGAUCUGUGGCAGUCGAUCGCACCUUAUGGACUCGACCGAAGAUUGCUGGAGCGUUCCUUUAAUGAAGAAAAACUGACCCUGGAUCAGCUCAUUUGGGCCUUCUGGAACCCUCCCUAAGGAGAGCUUGAGUACGCCACUUCAGCAACCCAACAUGCAGCUUUUCUUCCUCUCCACAGCUGCCUACGGCCUAGCUGGACAAAAUGCUCCUGUCAAAGCUAAUCACAGGAAUGAGGAAUGAGGAAACUAUUUCUACUCCCAACAAGAAAGAGUUCUCUCUAACGCUUGAAGGAGGAGAGUUCAAUUUGAGUGUUCAUGGAAGUGUUGCCUGGCUAUUUCAGUGGAACUACAGUUGGGACAGUAAGUAAAAUGUCAAUAUAAACAAUAUUUGACCUGUAUUGAAUUGAAAACAGUACAGAAACAAAAGGCUAAAUAUGAUGCUUGCAACACAUCUAAAAGGCAGCAUAUGUGCUCCAAAAUGUGUUCAGUGUUAAUGAUUCAUGACAACAUCAUCAAAGAUGACGCCUUCUGAACUUUAUGCUGGUAACAAUCUGGAUAGUGCUUUUCUUCUUUGGCCCAGAGAACACCAAGUCCACUAGUUUCAUAAGUCUGCAAAGACUCGUCAGAUCGCAAUACGUUUUUCUACAGUGCAUCAGUCCAUUUCAGACGAGCUAUGGCCCAGGGAAACUGUCGGCGUUUCUGGACACUGUUGACAUGUGACUUCCACUGUGCCUAGUACAGUCUAUUUCAAAUGGGCUUGAGCCCAGAGAAGUCGGCAGCAUUUCUGGACACCGUUGACGUGACUUCCACUGUGCAGAGUACACUCUACUACGGAUGUUUAUUAUCAAGGAUUUCCUGAGCCCAUGUGAUGAUGUCAAUCACAAAAGCAUGCUGGUUUUUAAUGCAGUGCCCUUUCACAAGGUCACAAGCAUUCAGCUGCACUUUUAGGCCCUGCUUUUAACACACAGAAUUCCCUGAAUCUUUUGAUAAUAUUACCAAGGUAGAGAGUCAAACACAUAAAAUCCUUGCAAAUGCUGAUUGUGGAACAUUGUUCUUAAACAGUCCAUUUUUGACUAAGUAGUGAGCCUCAGUCAACCCCACAUCAUCUGUUUGAAAAUGUCUUAAAUUGUCUUAUCCCAACUUUUUUGCAAUGUGUUGCAGGCAUCGAUUUCGGAAUGAGCUUUCAUUGCCCUCAUUUAUACACAUUUAUAAUUCCGAACUGAUGUCAUUUCUAUGAGAAUGUUUUUUUUCUUAUGAGCUCCAAAAUUUUGGGAGGAUCAGAAAUAACAUUUAUGACAGUAUAACAUUUUUGUUAGUGUACCUCUGAAUUAGUGUUGUCAUUAGGACAUAUUAGUAACUCCACAUCUAAGCUGUUUUUUCUAUGGCAAAAAUAAAUGUGGUAAACAAAAUGGU